AAUGGGAUAACUGGGUCAAAUGGUUCCAUUCCAAAUUUUUUGAGGAAUCUCUAUACUGCUUUCCAUAGUGGUUGCACUAAUUUGCAUUCCCAUCAGCAAU
rnacentral:pre_miRNA from 1 species